UACGGAGGGUGCGAGCGUUGUCCGGAAUCACUGGGCGUAAAGGGCGCGUAGGCGGCUUCUCAAGCGUGUGGUGAAAGUCCGGGGCUCAACCCCGGAUCCGGCCGUGCGGACUGGGGGAGCUCGAGUUCUGUAGAGGCGGGUGGAAUUCCGGGUGUAGCGGUGGAAUGCGUAGAGAUCCGGAAGAACACCGGUGGCGAAGGCGGUCUGCUGGGGUAAUGCUGACACUGAUGCGCGACACGUGGGGAGCAAACAGG
rnacentral:rRNA from 1 species